UACGUAGGGGGCAAGCGUUGUCCGGAAUCAUUGGGCGUAAAGAGCGUGUAGGCGGUUCGGUAAGUCGGCUGUGAAAUCCCAGGGCUCAACCCUGGAACUGCCUUUGAUACUGACGGUCUGGAGAUCGGGAGAGGUUGGUGGAAUUCCGAGUGUAGAGGUGAAAUUCGUAGAUAUUCGGAGGAACACCAGAAGCGAAGGCGGCCAACUGGCCCGAUUCUGACGCUCAGGCACGAAAGCGUGGGGAGCAAACAGG
rnacentral:rRNA from 1 species